CCUACGGGAGGCAGCAGUGAGGAAUAUUGGUCAAUGGUCGGGAGACUGAACCAGCCAAGCCGCGUGAGGGAGGAAGGUACAGAGUAUCGUAAACCUCUUUUGUCAGGGAACAAAGGCGGGGACGUGUCCCCGGAUGAGUGUACCUGAAGAAAAAGCAUCGCCUAACUCCGUGCCAGCAGCCGCGGUAAUACGGAGGAUGCGAGCGUUAUCCGGAUUUAUUGGGUUUAAAGGGUGCGCAGGGGGCCUGUUAAGUCAGCGGUCAAACCCCGGGGCUCAACCCCGGCCCGCCGUUGAAACUGGCAGUCUCGAGUUGGAGAGAGGUAUGCGGAAUGCGCGGUGUAGCGGUGAAAUGCAUAGAUAUCGCGCAGAACUCCGAUUGCGAAGGCAGCAUGCCGGCUCCACACUGACGCUGAGGCACGAAAGCGUGGGUAUCGAACAGGAUUAGAUACCCUUGUAGUC
rnacentral:rRNA from 1 species